GACGAACGCUGGCGGCGUGGAUUAGGCAUGCAAGUCGAACGGUAUCAUCCUUUCGGGGGUGAGAGAGUGGCGAACUGGUGAGUAACACGUAGGUUAUCUACCCUCAAGACGGGGGACAACCCAGGGAAACUUGGGCUAAUACCGGAUGUGAGCAACUUUUAGUUGUUUGAAAGGUGGCGUAAGCUGUCGCUUGGGGAUGAGCCUGCGUCCUAUUAGUUAGUUGGUGAGGUAACGGCUCACCUAGGCAAUGAUAGGUAGGCGGCCUUAACGGGUGGUCGCCCACACUGGGAUUGAGAUACGGCCCAGACUCCUACGGGAGGCAGCAGUCGAGAAUAGUCUACAAUGGUCGGAAGACUGAUAGUGCGACGCCGCGUGAACGAUGAAUCCCUUCGGGGUGUAAGGUUCUUUUAUAUGUGAGCAGUGCUUCUUAUAUUAACAGUAUGGGGAGAGAGAUAUUAGCAUAUGAAUAAGCAACGGCUAACUUCGUGCCAGCAGCCGCGGU
rnacentral:rRNA from 1 species